rnacentral:rRNA from 1 species
GGACUACACGGGUAUCUAAUCCUGUUCGCUCCCCACGCUUUCGCGCCUCAGCGUCAGUAUUAUGCCAGGUGGCUGCCUUCGCCAUCGACGUUCCUUCCGAUCUCUACGCAUUUCACCGCUACACCGGAAAUUCCGCCACCCUCUCAUAUACUCCAGUCUCAUAGUUUGCGAUGCACUUCCCAGGUUAAGCCCGGGGCUUUCACAUCACACACAUGAUACCGCCUACGCGCCCUUUACACCCAGUAACUCCGAUUAACGCUCGCACCCUCUGUAUUACCGCGGCUGCUGGCAC